UACGUAGGGGGCAAGCGUUGUCCGGAAUCAUUGGGCGUAAAGAGCGUGUAGGCGGCCCGAUAAGUCCGCUGUGAAAGUCCAGGGCUCAACCUCGAGACGCCGGUGGAAACCGUAAGGCUAGAGUCCGGAAGAGGAGAGUGGAAUUCCUGGUGUAGCGGUGAAAUGCGCAGAUAUCAGGAAGAACACCCGUGGCGAAGGCGGCUCUCUGGGACGGUACUGACGCUGAGACGCGAAAGCGUGGGGAGCGAACAGG
rnacentral:rRNA from 1 species